rnacentral:rRNA from 1 species
ACGGGAGGCAGCAGUAGGGAAUAUUGGGCAAUGGAAGCAAUUCUGACCCAGCCAUGCCGCGUGCAGGAAGAAGGCCCUAGGGUUUUAAACUGCUUUUGUCACAGAGUAACCGUCGGGACGCGUCCCGGCCUGAGAGUAUGUGACGAAUAAGUAUCGGCUAACUCCGUGCCAGCAGCCGCGGUAAUACGGAGGAUACAAGCGUUAUCCGGAUUUAUUGGGUUUAAAGGGUGCGCAGGCGGACCGGUAAGUCAGGGGUGAAAUACUGCAGCUCAACUGCAGCCGUGCCUUUGAUACUGCCGGACUAGAGUCCAAGGGACGUGGCUGGAAUGUGGUGUGUAGCGGUGAAAUGCUUAGAUAUGCCACAGAACGCCGAUCGUGAAGACAGGCCACGAACUUGGCACUGACGCUCAGGCACGAAAGCGUGGGUAUCAAACAGGAUUAGAUACCCUGGUA